rnacentral:sRNA from 1 species
AGAAAAUGUUGCUCAAAUAUUCUGUAUAUUUAGCCCUGACCUUUACAUUGGUGUUUUCUAAAGAAACAAAUUAUCAACGCAAUUAUCGUGCCAAAUUGGCCAGGGCAACGAUUUCUGGUCCUUGCCGUGUUGCAGACCCAGGAAAGUGUGUGAAUAUACACGGAAAAUGCGAUGGUAAUAAGUAUCAAGCUCCAGAAUGUCAAAUGCCAUCAGUCUGUUGUGUCAGGUCCA